AAGAAGCCUGACCCAUAGGCCCUACAGUUUAUAAUUAAUAUAAGCCUCUGAGUGAUAUUUACAAAUGGCUGUGGGACUGUGGGGCCAGGGGACCGCAGGGCCGGUGGACAGACAAACUUCUGCCUACAGUUCAGCGCCCACAUGGUGGCUCACAACCAUCUGUAAUUAACAGAUCCAGGAGAUCUUUUUCUGGUUUCAAAGGUUACCAGGCAUGCAAGUGGUCCACAGGCAUACAGCCAAAAUACCAUACACAUAAAGUAAAAUAACAAACAAAAAAAAUGUUUUAAGACAUCAAUGUUUUUUCAAGGAAAAGAAAAAGAUAUCUGACUAUCUUAAUCCAUUACCAGCUGUUUCCCUAUCUAGUGUAAAUUUCAUCAUUUAAAAAAAUGUUAGUAUAAUCAUAUUACUCAAUAACUCCAAACUUGAACUGUCUCUCUUUAAUCUAUUCCGUCACUGGAUUCCUUCUUGGGAGUGUUUGGUUUUGCCACAUUCGAAGUGUACAGCCUUCGGUGCCUUUUGUUUUAACAGCUACCCUACAAAAUUGGAUGGCCCUUGAUCUAUUCUGCCUUUACCCACAGAGCCAUCCCUCUGGUCUAGUGGUGGGGAUAUUAUAGUCAACAAAACAGAUUCUCUACUCUCAUGGCGUUUACUUCAUGGUGGGAGGGGUCUAACAACAACCGAUGUAUGCCUAUUGCUGUGGACUGAGUUUUGAUGCCCGCAAUAUGUCGGAACUCUAACUGCCAGUGUGAUAGUCAUUAGGGGUGGGACCUUUGGAAGGUAAUUAAAUUUAGUGACAGCAUGAAGAUGGAGUCCUCAUGAUAAGCUGUGCCCUUUUAAGAUGAAGGAGGGAGAUGGCAAAAGUUGCAUGCAGACAACACAAGGCCAAGCAAAGCGGCCAGCAUCUUACUGGGACCAAAGCUGUCCUCACCUUGUCCUGGGACUUAGGAUUUGGAACCAUGAGAACUAUGAAUCACAAUUGCAGCCCACUUACACAAGCCCACUUCUUGCUACUACGAAAGUGACCACAUGAGACCAGAACACACGUCAGUGUGCCUCUGUCUGGCACUGCCUCUUCACAGAGAACCCACGUCUAACAGCACGUCAAGACCUGAGCUGAAGGAGGACCAGAAAAACUCUAUUGAAGGUCAGCCUUGAAUUUUAACAUUCUUGACUCCAGC